AUGGAUAGAGUAGAUGUUGACAAUAGCGUGAUCAACCUGGAAUGCCAGGGCAUGCUUGAGCUUACAGACGAGUCAGUUCACUCUGUUUUUGCAAUACCACGCGGUGAGCUAGCAAUUGGUCCAGAAGGUGUCGAACCGUCUGAAGCUUGCAUUGAGUAUACACGUUUCGCAGCUAGCAUGAAUGACAAAGGCACACACAGCUUGAAGGCAGCAGAGGCAUACCUGAUGCGGGACAUCGCCGCCAACUCUAGAAAAAUUGACAUGGAUUGUUUCAAAAUUGCAUUCGUCAUCUUCGUAAUUGGCCAUGUGUUUGUGCUUGACAGCCUCGAGCUUGGCCAACUGAACAAACCACGCGGAAUGUACCCAAGGAUAGCGCUUUUUGAGCACGAGUCGAUGAAGAAGAUGAUUAAUAUCACAUCAGUAAACAUGGGUGGAGGAGAAAUAUCAUUUCACGGGGCAUCGGUCAAGGCUGAACAAAACGUCAGCAAAGGUAUUGUCUGCGCAUCAACCGAGCUUGCAAAUGAAAACAUUCCGAGGCAUUCUAAUACGACCAAACGAGUCCAGAUGCCAUCUGCGCCUAUUUUAAGAGCUACUUACAAUAAAAUUGGUCCACAAGAUUUCUCAAACCACAUACGUACAAACUAUCCAUCAAUAUCCGGUGAGAAGCUCGGGAUACUUCUCCGUGAGCACAAUGCUCGAGGUCUGGCAAACAUUUCAGAGAUGAGGCAGUCUUUCCAGUCAUCAAUGUUCACAUUUGCGGACAAGCUCAUCAACUGCAUCGCUGAGAAUUGUUCUUGUUGCAAGGCCAACGGACGUAAACAAUGCAUCCUGAAGAGUGAAAAUCAAAACAGUUGCACCAACUUGGCCAACACUCCUAUGCAAGAAAAAAAUAGACAAUUCGUUUGUUACCCCUGUUUGCAACAAGGUUUCUCCCAGGCUGGCUGGACAACUCCCAAACGACGGUAG
rnacentral:rRNA from 1 species